CUACAUUUUUAACGGAUUUCGAGAUUUUUGAGGAAAAAUGAUCAAAAUGCCCCUGUGAGAAAAAAAUUGUUUUUCUAUUGUUUUGAUUUGGAAAAUGUUUAUAAUCUCUCAAAACAUAAUUUUAGUGAAUAAUAUUCACAGGGAAAGCGAGAAAAACUGAUGUUAAGCCUUACGAGGUUUCGAUUGACAUUCCGGGUAAUGAAUGUCUAUCGGGACGUCGCGACGGUUGUCACGGGCUCGA
rnacentral:lncRNA from 1 species